GAGACCUGUAUCCACAAUUGCUAACGACUCAUUUUGAGAAUCGAGCACAUUGUGGGGACUGCCUUGGAAACAAGGAGGAAGGUGCAGGCAACGGUAGGUCUGUAUGCUCCGAAUCUUCUGGGCUACACGCGCGCAACAAUGGUACGGACAAUGGGCUGCAACUCCGAAAGGAGAAGCUAAUCCUCGAAAUCGUAUCUUAAUUCAAAUUGAGGGCUGUAAUUCGCCCUCAUGACGUUGGAAUCCCUAGUAAUCGGAUCUCAUCACGGUCCGGUGAAUGU
rnacentral:rRNA from 1 species